GGAUGAGCCCGCGGCCUAUCAGCUUGUUGGUGGGGUGAUGGCCUACCAAGGCGACGACGGGUAGCCGGCCUGAGAGGGUGUCCGGCCACACUGGGACUGAGAUACGGCCCAGACUCCUACGGGAGGCAGCAGUGGGGAAUAUUGCACAAUGGGCGCAAGCCUGAUGCAGCGACGCCGCGUGGGGGAUGAAGGCCUUCGGGUUGUAAACCUCUUUCAGUAUCGGCGAAGCUUCGGGGUUUUCCUCGGGGUGACGGUAGGUACAGAGGAAGCACCGGCUAACUACGUGCCAGCAGCCGCGGCCG
rnacentral:rRNA from 1 species